rnacentral:rRNA from 1 species
UACGGAGGGAGCAAACGUUGUUCGGAUUUACUGGGCGUAAAGGGUGUGUAGGCGGUCUUGCAAGUCAGGGGUGAAAUCUCUCGGCUCAACCGGGAAACUGCCUUUGAGACUGCAGGACUGAGGGCGUGAGAGGAGACUGGAAUUCCUAGUGUAGCGGUGAAAUGCAUAGAUAUUAGGAGGAACACCAGUGGCGAAGGCGAGUCUCUGGCACGCAUCUGACGCUGAGACACGAAAGCCAGGGAGCAAACGGG